AGUGAACGCUGGCGGUAGGCCUAACACAUGCAAGUCGAACGGCAGCACAGUAAGAGCUUGCUCUUACGGGUGGCGAGUGGCGGACGGGUGAGGAAUACAUCGGAAUCUACUUUUUCGUGGGGGAUAACGUAGGGAAACUUACGCUAAUACCGCAUACGACCUACGGGUGCAAGCAGGGGAUCUUCGGACCUUGCGCGAUUGAAUGAGCCGAUGUCGGAUUAGCUAGUUGGCGGGGUAAAGGCCCACCAAGGCGACGAUCCGUAGCUGGCCUGAGAGGAUGAUCAGCAACACUGGAACUGAGGCACGGUCCAGCCUCCUACGGGAGGCAGCAGGGGGGAAUAUUGGACAAUGGGCGCAAGCCUGAUCCAGACAUACCGCGUGGGUGAAGAAGGCCUUCGGGUUGUAAAGCCCUUUUGUUGGGACAGAAAAGCAGCAGGUUAAUACCCCGCUGUUCUGACGGUACCCAAAGAAUAAGCACCGGCUAACUUCGUG
rnacentral:rRNA from 1 species